AUUGAACGCUGGCGGCAUGCUUUACACAUGCAAGUCGAACGGCAGCGCGGGCUUCGGCCUGGCGGCGAGUGGCGAACGGGUGAGUAAUGCAUCGGAACGUGCCCAGCAGUGGGGGAUAGCCCGGCGAAAGCCGGAUUAAUAUCGCAUACGACCUGAGGGUGAACGCGGGGGACCGAAAGGCAUCGACCUAUUUGAGCGGCCGAUGUCGGAUUAGCUAGUUGCUGGGGUAAAGGCUUACCAAGGCGACGAUCCGUAGCUGGUCUGAGAGGACGACCAGCCACACUGGGACUGAGACACGGCCCAGACUCCUACGGGAGGCAGCAGUGGGGAAUUUUGGACAAUGGGGGCAACCCUGAUCCAGCCAUGCCGCGUGCGGGAAGAAGGCCUUCGGGUUGUAAACCGCUUUUGUUCGGGAAGAAAUCCUCUGGGCUAAUACCCCGGGAGGAUGACGGUACCGGAAGAAUAAGCACCGGCUAACUACGUG
rnacentral:rRNA from 1 species